rnacentral:rRNA from 1 species
UACGAAAGGGGCUAGCGUUGCUCGGAAUCACUGGGCGUAAAGCGCACGUAGGCGGCUUCUUAAGUCAGGGGUGAAAUCCUGGAGCUCAACUCCAGAACUGCCUUUGAUACUGAGGAGCUUGAGUUCGGGAGAGGUGAGUGGAACUGCGAGUGUAGAGGUGAAAUUCGUAGAUAUUCGCAAGAACACCAGUGGCGAAGGCGGCUCACUGGCCCGAUACUGACGCUGAGGUGCGAAAGCGUGGGGAGCAAACAGGG